AGACAAGUUGGGAAGAAUAUGUUUAGAUAUUUUGAAAGAUAAGUGGUCCCCAGCACUGCAGAUCCGCACAGUUCUGCUAUCGAUCCAGGCCUUGUUAAGUGCUCCCAAUCCAGAUGAUCCAUUAGCAAAUGAUGUAGCGGAGCAGUGGAAGACCAACGAAGCCCAAGCCAUAGAAACAGCUAGAGCAUGGACUAGGCUAUAUGCCAUGAAUAAUAUUUAAAUUGAUACGAUCAUCAAGUGUGCAUCACUUCUCCUGUUCUGCCAAGACUUCCUCCUCUUUGUUUGCAUUUAAUGGACACAGUCUUAGAAACAUUACAGAAUAAAAAAGCCCAGACAUCUUCAGUCCUUUGGUGAUUAAAUGCACAUUAGCAAAUCUAUGUCUUGUCCUGAUUCACUGUCAUAAAGCAUGAGCAGAGGCUAGAAGUAUCAUCUGGAUUGUUGUGAAACGUUUAAAAGCAGUGGCCCCUCCCUGCUUUUAUUCAUUUCCCCCAUCCUGGUUUAAGUAUAAAGCACUGUGAAUGAAGGUAGUUGUCAGGUUAGCUGCAGGGGUGUGGGUGUUUUUAUUUUAUUUUAUUUUAUUUUAUUUUUGAGGGGGGAGGUAGUUUAAUUUUAUGGGCUCCUUUCCCCCUUUUUUGGUGAUCUAAUUGCAUUGGUUAAAAGCAGCUAACCAGGUCUUUAGAAUAUGCUCUAGCCAAGUCUAACUUUAUUUAGACGCUGUAGAUGGACAAGCUUGAUUGUUGGAACCAAAAUGGGAACAUUAAACAAACAUCACAGCCCUCACUAAUAACAUUGCUGUCAAGUGUAGAUUCCCCCCUUCAAAAAAAGCUUGUGACCAUUUUGUAUGGCUUGUCUGGAAACUUCUGUAAAUCUUAUGUUUUAGUAAAAUAUUUUUUGUUAU
rnacentral:lncRNA from 10 species